UACGAAGGGGGCUAGCGUUGCUCGGAAUCACUGGGCGUAAAGCGCACGUAGGCGGCUUUCUAAGUCAGGGGUGAAAUCCUGGAGCUCAACUCCAGAACUGCCUUUGAUACUGGAGAGCUUGAGUCCGGAAGAGGUGAGUGGAACUCCGAGUGUAGAUGUGAAAUUCGUAGAUAUUCGGAAGAACACCAGUGGCGAAGGCGGCUCACUGGUCCGGUACUGACGCUGAUGUGCGAAAGCGUGGGGAGCAAACAGG
rnacentral:rRNA from 1 species